rnacentral:misc_RNA from 1 species
UAUGAAGCAUUGUUUCAAACAUCAUGGAUGAGUCAGAAGCGUAAUGGGAAAGAAUUCCCCUUUUGUUAAGUUGAUGUUAGAGACAAGGUUCCAUGAUUUUUAAUGAAUACCAAGUCAUAAUGGACAAGUUAAAGGAUAUUAUUGAAAAUUUUCAUCAUACGAAUUGAUCCAGUUUGUUCUAUAUCAUGCAUUUGCAAUUGACAUGUUUAUAUAUUAAGCAGAUUAUCAGAGAAAGAUAGAUGA